UUUGUGCCUCCUGUGUUUCUAUCGGCGUUCCUGUUGUGUUUUUCUGAUGGGAAUGUUUCUAUCGGCAUACCAUGUGAGUGUUUCUUGUCUCUAUAACCGAGCAUUUUGGCUUCAAAAUCCGAAAGGCACCUGUAUAAUUUUCUUGCAGAUUUUUAGACUCAAUGUGUAUAUAAAUGUGCUCUGUUGUUUUUCCUAUCGUCCGUGGAGUUUAAGGAUGAAGAACGGUGGUCUGUGCCGAUGUUGGGAUUUGGGGAUUUGAGGAUGCUAUAAAUUGUCAUUUGGGUAACUGCCGAUUUGGGGAUUUCUCCAUUGCUUUUGUGUGAUGUUUGGUCACUGCUGAUUUUGGUUAUUGGUGGGUUUUCUCCUACAUUUUGUGUCAUUUUGUAAUAGCUUGGGGUUAGUUUAAGCUUGUGGUGCUCCUCUUGAAACUUUGCAUCAGACAUUGAAAUGAGGUUAAUUGUAACCUUUUAGCAUUGGUUGGCUGACAUUGAACUACUUAAGUUUCUACC